UACGAAGGUGGCAAGCGUUACUCGGAAUUACUAGGCGUAAAGGGCAGGUAGGUGGUUUGGUUAGUCUGUUGUGAAAGCUCCUUGCUCAACGGGGAGAGGUCAACAGAUACUGCCAAGCUUGAGUAUAGGAGAGGGUACUGGAAUUCCCGGUGUAGCGGUGAAAUGCGCAGAGAUCGGGAGGAACACCAAUGGCGAAAGCAGGUACCUGGACUAAUACUGACACUCAGCUGCGAAAGCUAGGGGAGCAAACAGG
rnacentral:rRNA from 1 species